rfam:Parcubacteria bacterium DG_74_2 WOR1_52_54_806, whole genome shotgun sequence.
GGUGGGGACUAUACUGAGGAUGUUCCACUUCUUCCCAUUUCGAACAGAAUUGUGAAAUUCCUCAAGGCCGAUGAUAGUCCUUCGUGGGCGAAAGUAGGUAGUCCCCACUU